rnacentral:rRNA from 1 species
UACGGAGGAUCCGAGCGUUAUCCGGAUUUAUUGGGUUUAAAGGGUGCGUAGGCGGGAGAUUAAGUCGGUGGUGAAAUUUUGCAGCUCAACUGUAAAAGUGCCAUUGAUACUGGUUUCCUUGAGUGUGGAUGAAGUAGGCGGAAUUUGUGGUGUAGCGGUGAAAUGCAUAGAUAUCACGAGGAACUCCGAUUGCGCAGGCAGCUUACUAAACCAUAACUGACGCUCAGGCACGAAGGCGUGGGGAUCAAACAGGAUUAGAUACCCCUGUA